UACGGAGGGGGCUAGCGUUGUUCGGAAUUACUGGGCGUAAAGCGCACGUAGGCGGCUUUGUAAGUUAGAGGUGAAAGCCCGGGGCUCAACUCCGGAAUUGCCUUUAAGACUGCAUCGCUAGAAUUGUGGAGAGGUAAGUGGAAUUCCGAGUGUAGAGGUGAAAUUCGUAGAUAUUAGGAAGAACACCAGUGGCGAAGGCGGCUCACUGGCCCGGAACUGACGCUGAGGUACGAAAGCGUGGGGAGCAAACAGG
rnacentral:rRNA from 1 species